GAAAUGCGAUACGUAAUGUGAAUUGCAGAAUUCAGUGAAUCAUCAAACUCUUGAACGCACCUUGCGCCUUGAGGUCACUCAAGGCAUGCCUGUUUCAGGGUCGGUUUAUAACUCUCCGCAAACACCAAGUGUGUGUGUGGGAUUUGGCAGUCGCAGGCUUUGUGCUUGCGUUUGCUGAAAUGUAUGAGCUUACCAGCAAACCGAGUCGUUAACUGCGAACGGUUGGGAAGCGAUGAGUGUUGAAUGCGGCAUUGCGCCCAUACAUGUCUCAUCAGCCCAGUCGCAAGUGGUUAGCCUCUUGUUGGCGAGCGGUCAACCAACAUGCUUCACAGCAUUGUGACGCGAUCCUUUCACACUUCGACCUGAAAUCAGGUAGGGCAACCCGCUGAAUUUAA
rnacentral:misc_RNA from 1 species